rnacentral:rRNA from 1 species
CCUACGGGAGGCAGCAGUGGGGAAUUUUGGACAAUGGGCGAAAGCCUGAUCCAGCCAUGCCGCGUGAGUGAAGAAGGCCUUCGGGUUGUAAAGCUCUUUCAGCCGGAAAGAAAUCGCGCAGGCUAAUACUCUGCGUGGAUGACGGUACCGGAAGAAGAAGCACCGGCUAACUACGUGCCAGCAGCCGCGGUAAUACGUAGGGUGCGAGCGUUAAUCGGAAUUACUGGGCGUAAAGCGUGCGCAGGCGGUUAUAUAAGACAGAUGUGAAAUCCCCGGGCUCAACCUGGGAACUGCGUUUGUGACUGUAUGACUAGAGUACGGCAGAGGGAGUGGAAUUCCGCGUGUAGCAGUGAAACUGCGUAGAUAUGCGGAGGAACACCGAUGGCGAAGGCAGCCUCCUGGGGCCAGUACUGACGCUCAUGCACGAAAGCGUGGGGAGCAAACAGGAUUAGAUACCCUGGUAGUCCACGCCCUAAACGNUGCACUAGUUGUUCGGUAGAGGACACUCAUGUAGUAACGACGAGCACGCGNGAGUGACGCGNGGAGACGCGCGAGUAACGUACGAAGAGUAGAGCGNGAGAGNGCGACGGACGACGACGAGGGAGGAGG